rnacentral:rRNA from 1 species
CAGCAGUCGCCACGGGAAUACGUAGGGUGCGAGCGUUAAUCGGAAUUACUGGGCGUAAAGCGUGCGCAGGCGGUUGUGUAAGACAGGUGUGAAAUCCCCGGGCUUAACCUGGGAACUGCGCUUGUGACUGCACAGCUAGAGUAUGGCAGAGGGGGGUGGAAUUCCACGUGUAGCAGUGAAAUGCGUAGAGAUGUGGAGGGACACCGAUGGCGAAGGCAGCCCCCUGGGCCAAUACUGACGCUCAUGCACGAAAGCGUGGGGAGCAAACAGGAUUAGAUACCCCGGUAGUCCCUGUCUCUUAUAC